rnacentral:rRNA from 1 species
UACGUAGGGUGCAAGCGUUGUCCGGAAUUAUUGGGCGUAAAGAGCUCGUAGGCGGUCUGUCGCGUCGGAUGUGAAAAUCCAGGGCUCAACCCUGGACCUGCAUUCGAUACGGGCAGACUAGAGUUCGGCAGGGGAGACUGGAAUUCCUGGUGUAGCGGUGAAAUGCGCAGAUAUCAGGAGGAACACCAGUGGCGAAGGCGGCGACCUGGCCAAUCACUGACACUGAGGCGCGGCAGCGUGGGGAGCAAACAGG